ACGCUGGCGGCAGGCCUAACACAUGCAAGUCGAGCGGCAGCGGGAAGUAGUUUACUACUUCGCCGGCGAGCGGCGGACGGGUGAGUAAUGUCUGGGGAUCUGCCUGAUGGAGGGGGAUAACUACUGGAAACGGUAGCUAAUACCGCAUGACCUCGCAAGAGCAAAGUGGGGGACCUUCGGGCCUCACGCCAUCGGAUGAACCCAGAUGGGAUUAGCUAGUAGGUGGGGUAAUGGCUCACCUAGGCGACGAUCCCUAGCUGGUCUGAGAGGAUGACCAGCCACACUGGAACUGAGACACGGUCCAGACUCCUACGGGAGGCAGCAGUGGGGAAUAUUGCACAAUGGGCGCAAGCCUGAUGCAGCCAUGCCGCGUGUGUGAAGAAGGCCUUCGGGUUGUAAAGCACUUUCAGCGAGGAGGAAGGCAGUCGUGUUAAUAGCACGAUUGAUUGACGUUACUCGCAGAAGAAGCACCGGCUAACUCCGUGCCAGCAG
rnacentral:rRNA from 1 species